GGAGGCGUGGCAGAGCGGCCGAAUGCAUCCGCCUUGAAAGCGGAAGACGGGUGACACCGUCCGGGGGUUCAAAUCCCUCCGCCUCCG
rnacentral:tRNA from 1 species